UAGGGUUUGAUUAUGUCUCAAAACAAACGCUGCCGCCAGUCUUAACACAUGCAAGUCGAGCGCUCUCUUCGGAGUGAGCGGCGGACGGUUUAGUAACGCGUGGUACCGUGCCCUUUUUCUAAGAAAUAGCCACUGCAAACGGAGAGUAACACCGUUAUACGCCCUUCGGGGGAAAGAUUUAUCGAAGAAGGUCCGGCCCGCGUUAUAUUAAAUCGUUGGUGGGGUAACGCCCUACCAAGUCUACAAUCUAUAGCUGGUUUUAGAGGAGGAUCAGCAACGCUGGAACUGAGACACGGCCCAGACUCUUACGGCAGCCAGAAGUGCGUAAUCUUGAACAAUGGGCGCAAGCCUAAUCCACCCAUGCCGAGUGAUUAAUAAAGGCCCUGGGGUCGGAAAGCUCUUUCGCAAGAGAUGAUACUGACAGUGUCUGGAACAGAAACCCGGGAUAACUCAGUGCUAACUCCGGCGGUAGUACGGAGGGGGUUAGCUCUUUUUCGGAAUUACGGGGCGUAAAGCUCACUUAGGCUCUAUCAGAAGGUUUGAGGUGAAACCCCCGGGGGCUAACCCCCGAAACUGCCUUGAAAACUCCCGGUUCUUGAGUUCAAAGAGAGGUGAGUGGAAUUCCCGAGUGAAGAGGUAAAAUUCAGAGACUUUCGGAGGAACACCAGUUUGCGAAAGGUGUCUCAAUUGGCUCGAAUACUGACGCAUGAGGUGCGAAAUUUGUGGCGGAGCAAACUCGGAAUAAGAUACCCCGGCUAGUCCACCCGUAAACGAAUCAAUUGCAAACACGUUAGCAAGCAUGCUUUGCUGGCUGACACACCUAAAGGUAUUAACGCCUUCCCGCCUGGAGUAGUACCGGCCCCCAAGAUUAAAAACUCAAAGGGAAUUGGACGGGGGGCCCCCAACAAGGGGUGGAACCCUGGGGGUUUUAAUUUCGAAACAACCGGGAAAGAACCCUUAACAACCCCUUUGAAAUCCCUCGGAACCGCCA
rnacentral:rRNA from 1 species